CAGAGGGAGAAGGCAGAGAUCCAAAUGGAUGCAAGGCAAUUCAAGCGUUUUGCAGAGGAGAAGAUGGCUCAUGACCAACAGGAGCUUUUGGCUUUUGAGGAUAUACUGUAUAAGAGAGAACAAACCAUUCAAUCACUCAGUUGUGAGGUGCAGGCUUAUAAAUAUAGGAUGAUGAGUUAUGGGCUUACAGAAGCAGAGGCAGAGGGGGAGAAGGGUGAGAAAAGUGGGUUUAGCCGCAAUCCAAGUAUGGCUGAAAAUUUGGAUGCUGCCCAAUUUGAAUUUCCAGCAUACAAUUAUCCACCCUUAAAAUGCAAUUUGAAUGAGAACCCAAGUGCUUUGGAGGGCGAUGAUGAUGUUGUGGAUGUUGAGAAGUAUGCUUUUGGUGAGACUCCUCAUGCUCGGGAUCAUUUGAAGAAUUUGGAAUAUAGGAUCAAUCAGAUGGAGCAAAGUCCUAGUAGCAGUCAAUUAGAUGGGGAGUCUUCUGGUUCUAAGAAUAUCCCAGAGAAGGUGAUAGUGGGUCAUUCUCCCAGGCAACCAAGAGACAGGAUGUUUUCUGCUAAUGGUUCGGGUUCAUUCAUGGGUAUGUCAAGAGAAACAGGUCCAGAUCUUGUGACAGAAUCUCCUAGUUUUAGGUUCAAUAAUAGCUUUAAGAAGAUGGAUUAUGUUUCACAGUCAGAAGACUACUCGAAUUUGAGAAAGGUGGAUAAUGCAUCAG
rnacentral:misc_RNA from 1 species